UACGUAGGGUGCGAGCGUUGUCCGGAAUUAUUGGGCGGAAAGGGCUCGUAGGCGGUUUGUCGCGUCGGGAGUGAAAACCCAGGGCUUAACCCUGGGCUGGCUUCCGAUACGGGCAGACUAGAGGUAUGCAGGGGAGAACGGAAUUCCUGGUGUAGCGGUGAAAUGCGCAGAUAUCAGGAGGAACACCGGUGGCGAAGGCGGUUCUCUGGGCAUUACCUGACGCUGAGGAGCGAAAGUGUGGGGAGCGAACAGG
rnacentral:rRNA from 1 species